UACGAAGGGGGCUAGCGUUGCUCGGAAUCACUGGGCGUAAAGCGCACGUAGGCGGAUUGUUAAGUCAGGGGUGAAAUCCUGGAGCUCAACUCCAGAACUGCCUUUGAUACUGAGAAGCUUGAGUCCGGGAGAGGUGAGUGGAACUGCGAGUGUAGAGGUGAAAUUCGUAGAUAUUCGCAAGAACACCAGUGGCGAAGGCGGCUCACUGGCCCGGUACUGACGCUGAGGUGCGAAAAGCGUGGGGAGCAAACAGGG
rnacentral:rRNA from 1 species